AAAAAAAAUAUCUGCAAUCACACUCUGGGGGUUAAAAGAGGCAGGAAGCCCUCCAGGGAGGCAGCAUGGAGUCUGAGGGAGUAAACCUUGGCUGCCAGCCGCAGAGUCCCUGGGCUGGAGUCCAGAGGAGAAGUAGCGGCUGGGUACUUCUAUCUUCCAGUGAGGAAGGGGAACUGCUGCUGCCCUAUAACAGAAGACUAGGAAAACUGCUGCAGGAGGCCUGGAUAAAGGACCCAAUUGUGUAAAGUCAGCUUGAAGUGAUUCAGCUGGUCCUGACCUGUGAUCAAAAAAGCUGACAUGAGAUUGACAAAAUCCUGCUGGAAGGAUCUGAAGGACGAGAACUUGUCAGGGUCUCCAUGUGGAAGAGGAGUGACACCUGGAAGUUACCAUGAAUGUAAACUGUUUAUUAUUUUACGAUGUUUUCUGUGUAAUGCUUUUGCCCUAAAAUAAAUGUAC